rnacentral:rRNA from 1 species
CCUACGGGUGGCAGCAGUGGGGGAUAUUGCACAAUGGGGGAAACCCUGAUGCAGCGACGCCGCGUGUGGGAAGACGGUCCUCUGGAUUGUAAACCACUGUCCCCAGGGACGAAGAUGACGGUACCUGGGGAGGAAGCUCCGGCUAACUACGUGCCAGCAGCCGCGGUAAUACGUAGGGAGCGAGCGUUGUCCGGAAUUACUGGGUGUAAAGGGGGCGUAGGCGGGGAUGAAAGUUGGGUGGCAAAACUACCGGCUCAACUGGUAGUCGCACAUAAAACUGGAGGUCUUGAGUGAAGUAGAGGGAGGUGGAAUUCCUAGUGUAGCAGGGAAAUGCGUAGAUAUUAGGAGGAACACCAGUGGCGAAGGCGGCCUGCUGGGCUUUUACUGACGCUGAGGCUCGAAAGUGUGGGGAGCAAACAGGAUUAGAUACCCCAGUAGUC